rnacentral:rRNA from 1 species
GAUGAACGCUGGCGGCGUGCCUAACACAUGCAAGUCGAGCGAUUCUCUUCGGAGAAGAGCGGCGGACGGGUGAGUAACGCGUGGGUAACCUGCCCUGUACACACGGAUAACAUACCGAAAGGUAUGCUAAUACGAGAUAAUAUGCUUUUAUCGCAUGGUAGAAGUAUCAAAGCUUUUGCGGUACAGGAUGGACCCGCGUCUGAUUAGCUAGUUGGUAAGGUAACGGCUUACCAAGGCGACGAUCAGUAGCCGACCUGAAAGGGUGAUCGGCCACAUUGGAGCUGGGACACGGUCCAAACUCCUACGGGAGGCAGCAGUGGGGAAUAUUGCACGAUGGGCGAAAGCCUGGUGCAGCCACGCCGCGUGAGCGAUGAAGGCCUUCGGGUCGUAAAGCUCUGUCCUCAAGGAAGAUAAUGGCGGUACUUGAGGAGGAAGCCCCGGCUAUCUACGUGCCAGCCGCCGCCGUAA